rnacentral:rRNA from 1 species
CUGCUGCCUUCCGUAGGAGUUUGGACCGUGUCUCAGUUCCAAUGUGGGGGACCUUCCUCUCAGAACCCCUAUCCAUCGUUGUCUUGGUGGGCCGUUACCCCGCCAACUAACUAAUGGAACGCAUCCCCAUCCCAUACCGAAAUUCUUUAAUAAUCCCAUCAUGCGGUAGGACUAUGACAUCGGGUAUUAAUCUUUCUUUCGAAAGGCUAUCCCCGAGUAUGAGGCAGAUUGGAUACGUGUUACUCACCCGUGCGCCGGUCGCCAU